AUCUCAGCAUCAAGCAGCCUCAGCUCCGAACUGUGUACCACCAUGGAUAUUUAAUUUUGCAGCAGACUAUCUUGAAACCUGUGGUGUAGGUUGCAUCGGC